GGAAAGAGUUUGGUGAAGGACCCUUUUGGGCAAGAGUGAUGCGAGUCCUUGAGGGUUCGUGUCCUGCUGACCUGGGCCGGACAUGGCACCCUCCAUCAGAAAUUUUUCUGUGUCAUGAACUGUUCUGAGAACCCUGAAGCCAAAUAUUUCUACCUCAGUUUAAUGAGUGUAGAAGGACCGAGUGUUUUCGAGAACAAAGGAGUCUACAUUCACACUCCCCCAGUCUCAUUAGCACACAAAGAUGAGAUGUCUGAUCACGGGCUAAUGAAGUUACUCCCCGGCCACGGUCAUUUAUGUUCUCACCCGGGGCUUCUAGGGACACAAGGCCCAGGAACAAGGACAGUUCAGAAUUUUUGCAGAGUCAAUACCACACCGGUCUCCAGAUGAAAUGCUGGAUCCUCUUGCCUGGUGUCCCGCUGCCUGGCGCUCACCCUGCCCUGGACCGCGGUGCAGCCUCCGCAUCUGGGAGGAAAAAACUGCGGCGGGCAGGCGAGCCGGGGCGGGGACCGCGCCGCGGUGGCUGCUCUGCGGCUCGGAACGGGGCCCAGGCUCGGGCCUUACCAGGGCCCCAGCCCCGCCGCGCUCCUCCCCUCCCCCUCCCUCAAUCCCACCUCGAGUCCCGCGCCCUUAAAGGAAGUCCAUGGCUUUGCCCGGUCACCAACAGGGUGUCGGCCGGCCCCUUCUGUGCUACGGUGCGGCCGACUUGGGCUCUUCAGGACACCGCCACGUCCUCUGGGUGGGCGCCCGUCGCCUCCUCCCCGGGGUUGACCCCACGGGUCUCCGGGCGAUUCUUCCCUAGUCUUUCCAGCCCGUGGGCGGCGGCGGCGGCGGCGGCGGCGCGGAGUGUCGCGGAGCUGUCCCCGCAGAGCCCUCCCGGGGCGGCGAUCCGGUCCCCGCGCCGCCUCCGGCGUCUCCCCAGCCUGGCCUCCGCCGAGCCGGCUGCGGUCCACGUGGCUCCGGAGCUCGCAGGAAGCCCCGAGCGAGCCGAAAGCCGAGCCGAGAGCGGGCGGAGGGGGCGCGGGAGGGGGGGGGGGGAGCGGGCCCGGGGGGCGGGCACUGGGCGGAGGAAGGGGAGGGCCGCGCGCAGCCCAGGCGCCCGCCCCGCUCCGGCGCGCCCCGCUCCCGGCCCCGGCCGGCCAGGGAAGCGGCCCCUCCCCGGCCGCCCGCCGGCCCCUCCCGUUACACCCGGGGGAAGGUGUUCCCGAGACCGCUCCCAUCCUCACCCCGCCUCCCCGCUUCCCCGGCUCCAGCCUCCGCCGGCGGAGCUCCACUAUGCCAGACAGUUUCGACACUUUGCAAAGACAAAGACCAGAGGGAGGAGGAAGAGGAGGACAGGGAGGGCGAGGAGGAGGAGGGAGAGGAGGACGGCGCGAUGUGAGCCGGGAAGGGGGCCAGUGCUCGGGACAACCCCCCCUUUAGUCUCCCCGGAGCCCCUCAUCUCCAAAGCCGCCGAAACUCCAGCGUGUCUCCGGCUGCGCACCGUCCUCAGAACUUUCCGGGCAUUCCUGGCAUCACAGACAACAGGGCCACCCCGUGCAAUGACGCCUCCUUACUCACUGCGAGUGCUCCAGACUCCCAGAGCCCACGCCCGCUUGGUGAAGUCAUUCGUCAGCAAUUCUCAGCACCGGACAUUGAGAGACGCCCUAGAAGUUUCAGACUCCGGGGUCUGAAACUGGGCAGAGCCGAGGUGGCAUUUUGAGGGAGCCCCGAUGAUGUGUAUUGCAAACAGGGACCUGGUGACUUCACCAGGACCAAUAGGGUUCCCACUCGAGCUGAAAAUGUUCAUAGAAGUCAUUUUGUUCAAUAUUUUCAUAUUAAUUCAAAAAUACUGAAGCCCAGAGGGGAAAUCAGGGGACCCUGAGUGACAGAGCUGAUCUAGAAACCAGUUGGUCUCAUAAACUCCAAAUAGGUGAGUGCCCUGUGUUUUCCCUUCCCCCUACCCCCAUUCUUUUCCCUGCACUGAAGUCCUUGUUUCCCUCUUGGAAACCCAACAUUCCUUGGGAAGCCUGAGGUUUGACUGUUUCUUGGGUCUUGUUGGGUGGAUUGUUUUGAUUUCCGUUGAUCCAACAUUUAUUAGGAACUUAACUGUGUUCUACUCACCAUGCAAGAUGCUGGAAAUAGAGAGUGGUAAGAACUCUGAUCGACCCUUGUUACCAUCCCCCAGAGGUCACCGCGUGGCGGGGAGGCGCACGGGUGCACUUGAAGAGUUUGUGGCAGUAUGGUUUGCACGGGGCGGGAGCACGCAUGUGCCGAGGGAGGGCUGGGACAGAGAAGGGAGUAGAUUCCUGUGCCUUGCGGGACCCACAGGGAAGAAUUCACUGGGGAGUCAAAGCCCGAAUAACUAGGGAAGUCACACCGCAGGAGAGCGAAGGUAGUUUCUUGCCUGCCUAGAACUGGUAUCUAAUUAACAUGGUGUGCGCCUAGUGAGCCCAAGAAAAGUGAAGUAAAAUAAAAUAACAGGUCGGAUGUAGGUCUGUUCCGCG
rnacentral:lncRNA from 1 species